rnacentral:rRNA from 1 species
GAUGAACGCUGGCGGCGUGCCUAACACAUGCAAGUCGAACGGACUUACAUUGAAGCCUAGCGAUAUGUAAGUUAGUGGCGGACGGGUGAGUAACGCGUGGGUAACCUGCCUUGUACUGGGGGACAACAGUUGGAAACGACUGCUAAUACCGCAUAAGCGCACAGCUUCGCAUGAAGCAGUGUGAAAAACUCCGGUGGUACAAGAUGGACCCGCGUCUGAUUAGCUGGUUGGUGAGGUAACGGCCCACCAAGGCAACGAUCAGUAGCCGGCCUGAGAGGGUGAACGGCCACAUUGGGACUGAGACACGGCCCAAACUCCUACGGGAGGCAGCAGUGGGGAAUAUUGCACAAUGGGGGAAACCCUGAUGCAGCAACGCCGCGUGAGUGAUGACGGCCU